AUUUAAUUAAAAAUUUAUAUUUUGUAGGUCAAAUGAAAACAACGGAAUAUUUCUUAAUUAAACAAUUAAUUAUACAUCUGAUUCUCAUGGGCUUAGCGGGCCCAGUGAAUGCCCAAAAUAUAUCAGGUAAGAAUCAGGUAUCAUUUGGUAUUGUAUACCAAGUUUUCAAUGCAUCCAAUUCUUCGUUAUUGUUCAAACCAGAAAUUACGAUUUUGAAUGAUAUUUCUGCUACAAAUGGGACUUUGUUUGACAUCUUACUGGCGAACAUCAACUCAAAUAAAAUGGAUUCCAUGGUAAAUAUAACAACAUCAGAUCCAUAUCGUGACUAAAGGGCUCACUACAACUACCAGCACCUUCGACAAUGCAGGUUUACCUACAACCUUUACCUAGACUGCAAACAAAACAAUUAAACUAAACAAAUAAAUUUAUUUAUUACUUCUUAUUUUAAAAAUAAUAUUUAUAUUUCAUCUUUCUAUCUUUGAAAAUAAAAAAUUUUCAAAAGACCAUUAAUACAUUCAAUAUAAAUUCUCCAAAGAUUAUAAAACUAUA